GGACAUAGCUUAAUUGAUAGAGUGCUUGCCUUGCAUGCACAAAGCCCUGGGUUCAAUCCCCAGCAUGACCA
rnacentral:tRNA from 1 species